rnacentral:rRNA from 1 species
CCUACGGGAGGCUGCAGUGGGGAAUAUUGGGCAAUGGGCGAAAGCCUGACCCAGCAACGCCGCGUGGAGGAAGAAGGCUUUCGGGUUGUAAACUUCUUUUCUGGGGGACGAACAAAUGACGGUACCCCCGGAAUAAGCCACGGCUAACUACGUGCCAGCAGCCGCGGUAAUACGUAGGUGGCCAGCGUUCUCCGGAUUUAUUGGGUGUAAAGGGAGUGUAGGCGGGAAUGCAAGUCAGAAGUGAAAACUCAGGGCUCAACCCUGAGACUGCAUUUGAAACUGUGUUUCUUGAGUACAGGAGGGGCAAUCGGAAGUCCGUGGGUAGCGGGGAAAUGCGUAGAUAUACGGAGGAACACCAGUGGCGAAGGCGGAUUGCUGGACAGUAACUGACGCUGAGGCGCGAAAGCGUGGGGAGCAAACAGGAUUAGAUACCCGAGUAGUC